rnacentral:rRNA from 1 species
CCCUUAGAUGUUCUGGGCCGCGCGCGCGCUACACUGAUGCAUUCAACGAGUGUACCUUGGCCGAGAGGCCUGGGCAAUCUUUUGAACGUGCAUCGUGAUAGGGAUAGAUUAUUGCAAUUAUUAAUCUUGAACGAGGAAUUCCUAGUAAACGCAGAUCAUCAAUCUGCAUUGAUUACGUCCCUGCCCUUUGUACACACCGCCCGUCGCACCUACCGAUUGGAUGGUCCGGUGAAGCCUCGGGAUUGUGGCGGUUGCCUUUAUUGGUGGCCGCCGCGAGAACUUGUCUAAACCUUAUCGUCUAGAGGAAGGUGAAGUCGUAACA